CAUUUUAGUCCAAAAAAUUUUAUUAUUUUAAGUUGGUAGAAUUCAUUCCAAAUUCCAUCAAAUUUGAUGGAAAUUGGUUUUAGUUAUAAUCAUUUUGAUGAAAUUCAAUUCCUAGAAUUUAAUUCUAAAAUUUUUUACAAACCAAACACAAGAUAUAUAGAUAUCAAUUGAAUAUCACAAAAUUUUGUGGAAUUCACUUGAACCAAACCAACCCCUUACUGAAUUUGAAAUUUUAAUAAAUGUUGGUGGAAUUAAUGCGUUUGGUUGAAAAUUGUGAGGCUUGGGCAGUGAUUGAGCAAGAAACAUUUACAUUGUAGCUACUGUUGUUGGUUUCAUGGAUGGAAAAUAUAAUAGUUAUGCAACUUUAUUGCAUUUUUGCCAAUUUUUAGUUGAUGGAGGAAGACACAAAUUGGUGCUAAUGAAAUGGUAGUAUUGUAUGAUGUGUUAGUGAGUGAUGAUGAUGAUGAUAUAGUGAUUGUACUGGACUUGAGGAAGGUAGAGGGCUCCAGGUUGGGAGUAUGCAUUGCUUCUGACCACAAUACAAGAAUGGAUUGUUAUUUACUGAUUUGUUUUUAGGCCAAAUGACCAAUAAACUCUUUGAUGGUGUGAACUUUUUCUCCAGGGGUACUACUUUGG
rnacentral:misc_RNA from 1 species